rnacentral:rRNA from 1 species
CAGUAGCCGCGGGAAAACGGAGGGUGCAAGCGUUAAUCGGAAUUACUGGGCGUAAAGCGCACGCAGGCGGUCUGUUAAGUCAGAUGUGAAAUCCCCGGGCUCAACCCGGGAACUGCAUUUGAAACUGGCAGGCUUGAGUCUUGUAGAGGGGGGUAGAAUUCCAGGUGUAGCGGUGAAAUGCGUAGAGAUCUGGAGGAAUACCGGUGGCGAAGGCGGCCCCCUGGACAAAGACUGACGCUCAGGUGCGAAAGCGUGGGGAGCAAACAGGAUUAGAUACCCCAGUAGUCCCUGUCUCUUAUAC